CAUCCACCCUGGGUCCAGAAGAUUCUUAAGGAUCGCGGUACAGAUCGGGGGGGUCUUAAAACAUUUCCAGUUUUUGGCCCUCCCAUUUGGGAUUUCUUCAGCCCCACACACUUUUACCAAGUUGGUGGUGGUGUCCGUGGUGGCCGCUCUAAGGCUUCAGGGUCUGAGCAUAGUUCCUUACCUGGACGAUUGGCUCCUCAGAGCCCCUUCCCAAGCGAUCCUGUCCCAACACAUUCAACAGGCUGUCGCCUUCCUUCAUCAGCUAGGAUGGAUAAUCAACUGGGACAAGUCCCAACUUCUGCCAGCCACCUUGGUAAGGUUCCUGGGGUUCGUGGUGGAUUCAGUAAAG